AGAAGACCAACGCGCAGGAGAAUAGAUCAAUAUCUACUCGUGUGAGUGAUAAUUAUAAUAUGCGCGUCUAACGGGAGGGAACAUUUUCUGCCCCAUAGAUGUGUGGGCUCUCUCUGCCAGUCACAAUAUUCCGGAGAGCGCCGCAAGGUAAAUUAAGAGAUGCGGCCCGCACAACAGUGUAUUUGUGUUAUUCGAGACACCGAAGACCUACCAGUCUGACAUCUACUGAACAUUGGUAUGCGGAUGCUCUCGAGCAGUAAAGACAGGUGUUCAUGGUGUCGUCAGCUCGUGUCGUGAGAUGUUGGUUAAGUCCCGCAACGAGCGCAACCCUUACCGAUAGUAGCCAGCAGUAAGAUGGGAACUCUAUUGGGACUGCCAGGGAUAACCUGGAGGAAGGCGGGGAUGACGUCAAAUCAUCAUGCCCCUUAUGACUUGGGGGACGCACGUGCUACAAUGGCGUGAACAAAAGAGACGCGAACCUGUGAAGGUGGGCGGUCUCAGGAAGCACGUCCCAGUUCGGAUUGUAGUCUGCAACCCGACUACAUGAAGCUGGAAUCGCUAGUAAUCGCAGAUCAGAAUGCUGCGGUGAAUACGUUCCCGGGUCUUGUACACACCGCCCGUCACACCAUGGGAGUCGAUAAUGCCCGAAGCCGGUGACCUAACCUCGUGAAGGAGCCGUCGAAGGCAGGAUUGAUGACUGGGGUG
rnacentral:rRNA from 1 species